rnacentral:rRNA from 1 species
UUGAGACCUAAAUCAAUGCCAGACAAUACGAACAACAGUUUAAAAUCCAAAGAAAUUGGCGGUAUCUUAUGUAAUCAGGGGAACCUGUCUCUUAAUUCGAUAAUCCACGAAACCCAACCCUAGUUUCGAAUAACAGCCUGUGUACUGCUGUCGUCAGUAAACCUCUAAAAGACAGUUUACGCUAAAUAUGUAAAAUCAAUAUUCACGUCAAGUCAAAGUGCAGCCUAUAACUAGGAGACGAUGGGUUACAAUCUCUAAACAGAAAUGAAUUAACAAUAUAAAUUAUUAUUAUGAAAGUGGACUUGAGAGUAAUGAUCAUAACAUACUAUCAUAAAUCAAUACCUAAGAAUGCACACAUCGCCCGUCACUCUCCUCAUAAGACG